GUAAGCAUUCAUAUUUGUUUGUGUGUGAAAAAAGUAAAAAAACUAAAUUGAACGCUAAUUUUGGCCAGUGUUUGUGACCAAGUGGUUACUAAAAAAGACUGGCCAUACCCCAUUUGCAAUACCUUGGGUUUUCUUCUUUUGCAAAUGGUAUGCCAUCAUGGGGGUAAUUCUCAUUCCUGGGCUACCAUACGCUCUCAAAGGCAAC
rnacentral:lncRNA from 1 species